AUUUGUCAUUUCUUCCAUCAGCUGCCACAGUACUAAAAAAGAGGCGAAUGAGUUCAUGUAUCAGUAUCUAUGAUUGGCUCUGGUACAAAUGCCAACAUUUGAUUGGCUCUGUGGCAAUAGACAAGCCAAUAUUUUGUGCCACAGUACUGUGGCAGUAGUCAUUGCCA